rnacentral:lncRNA from 1 species
AAAAAAAAAAAAAAAAAAAAUCGAUGAUCUACACCAAAAAGACAACAAAGCAACCAAAACUUGACCAAUUACCUGAAACAAUAUUAAUAUCUUUGCUGGAGAUAUUGAAUCAAAACUAAAAGUAACCAGGGAAACACAGUAAAGACAUUUGUACUCAAGUAUUUAAAAACACCACAUGAAUCAUCUUAUUCUUCGUAAUCUUUAGCUUCCCAUUAAUACACCUUCUCGAAUGAGCAGCAACUUGAGCAUACUUGAAGACAUGUAGACAGAGUAUCAAUAAGCCACAAUGAGAGUAGAUUAGUUACCAACAACAAAGAAUACAUGCAGAAUACUGAUAUAAAGUUUCCAAUUUAAUGGAAGAAGUGAUAACACUAAACUAAGGGAUUUCAACUUUGGCAAGAUCAAAACAUUUUUGAGUUAUCAAUUUUGUUUAGGGAGCUGUACAUGUAAGAACACAAUAUAACAUAUAUUAGAGAAAGAGAUUUCUGAAAUUUAUAUACAAGUGUCAACCAAUUACUAUCAGGUUAGCUACAUUAUCAAAAUUUUGAUUUCAUUAAUUUAGCAUGUCACUCAAUCAAGAUUUGGUAUGCUGGGAAUGAAUUUGGAUCUAUUUUUUGUCUUUCUAGGACCGAUAAAAUGGGUUCUGGAACCUUGCAUGCUAAAACUAAGCAUAUUCUGCAGACAAGACCAAGAAUUAUCUCUACUACAAGAGAUAUUAAAAAAGGGAACUUAUAACCACAACAUGAAAAAUGUAACACAACAGAUCACUCACCAAUAAAAUUAAGCAAGACAAAAUAUGCAUAAUAACAAAUUACUCAUCAAAAGGUUCCAGUGUUUACCUUUUCAUUAAUAACCUACAGCAUCCCUACACCACAAAACAACAACGAAAUUCAGUAAGCCAACCUCAUGAAUUUUAAAAAAUAACACUAAAUAAUAAUUUGAUGAGCAAAAUGGUAUCGUUGCUUAAUGUCAAUAGACCAACAGCUAGCCAAAAAGAAAAUGCCACUAUAAGUUAGGAAUGAAGUGAUCCACUACUCAACUAACACCUUCAAGGAAUAACAAUCCGACUCAUAUGACAGAACUAAUUGUUGGGUCAUCAAGAGACUUCUCUAAAUCCGUGAUAGACCGACGUUUAUGAAAACCUCUUGAGGACAGAACACUUAGCAGUUCCCACCGCAUUCAUAAUGAACGCAUGACAGCUCCAUUGACACACACAACACAAACAAAGCAAGGAACAUCUAUAAGUUUCAUAGCAGAAAAAAUUGCAAAUCCAGUCCACAAAACAUACUUGCCCUAAUGAAAAGUAAUCUGCAGCAACUCAACAAAACCAUAACACAUUAUUCAAAUACACUUGAUUUGUAAAUACCGUGCAAACAAACAGAACAUGCCAACAACAUCAUCUCUUCAUGCAGAAAACCAUAAUAACAUUAUAACAGACGUACAACAUAAGGAAAACUAUUUAGCUUGAUGCCAAAAGUUAACAAAUAGUCAUCCAUCUCAUCAGGUUAAUAUAACUCAACAAAAAAAGAAAGGAUAAUGAGACAAUUACCAGGCCUAUACUACAGUUCUACACAUACAAGCAACAAAUCUACAAUUCCCAUAGUGUAUGCAGAAUCACCUCAAUCCUUAACUGCCAUAUAUCAAAAGAACUUUUAUCUGCCCAAGGGAGCAAAAUAUCAGAAUCAAGAAAAUAUAGAAAAGGAAAACAAGAAAAACCAUGAAUGUAAGCUAUGAAAAUAAUGAAACAAAAGUCAUUAUAACAAUUUGAGUCAACUUCCACCUUAUAAAACUAUAAAGUCAUCCCGACUUGAUCUAAAGGCAUAGAACCCAUAUACGGAAACAAUCAAAUUAAUUAGAGACUAAAAACCAUUCUACAGUAUUAAUAC